UCACGGCAACGUUACGUUCUCCCGGUUCCCGUGUAGCGUGUUCGGUUGUACGGUCGUCAGUCGUCAUUCGUCAGUGCGCCGUGCACUGCCGUCACCGUUUUUCCGCGCUCUCCGUACACUGUUCUUUAUUAUUAUUUUGAUAUUUUUGACGUAUCAAAUUCCGGUGCGUUAUCAAUUAUCCGCGCGUUCUCGCCGUUGAUACGCGACAAUAUUCCGUGUCGGAGCUGCAGGUGCGACUUACGAUUGCGGUCCACGAAAAUAUCGACGAUAUUACACUCGGCUCAUAUUACGCCCAAAUAUCGAUUUCCAGUUGGCUGGGAAACCGACAUAAAAUUUAAGCUAAAUUCCCGAAUCAGUUUUUAAAAUAAGUAAAAUGGGUGAAAGACGUGGCACUAAAGCAUUAGAACUAUGGUGUAAGCGAGUGACUCAAGGAUAUGAUGGAGUGUCUAUUGAAAAUAUGUCUACUUCAUGGAAAGAUGGACUUGCAUUUUGUGCACUUAUUCAUCAUUUUAGACCUGACUUGAUUGAUUUUAAUAGUUUGGACAAAAAUGAUAUUUACGGUAACAAUGAGUUAGCUUUUCGUGUUGCUGAAAAUCACCUGGGUAUUCCAGCACUUUUAGAUCCAGAAGACAUGGUUUGCGUCGAAAUACCAGACAGAUUAUCGAUAUUGACUUACUUAUCACAGUUCUACCAAACUUUCUCAUCACAAGCUACGACGCCUGUGAAAACAUCACCUGAAUCGCCGACCAGUGUUGAACGGCCCAGAACUAAUACAGGAUCCGGUCAAAAUGCUCCAACAAAGUUGGGCGCAGGCGUUGGCGGUUGUAGAGUGUGCAACCAGUCCGUGUUCCUAGCCCAACGUCUGCUCAUCUCUGGCCACCUAUUCCACCGGACGUGUUUUAAGUGCGCCCGGUGCUCCGCCCUGCUGAGCGUGGCCAACUACUACGAGACGCAGGACGGCAAGUACUGCUGCGAAACGUGCCCGGACGAAGAGCGGACGGUGUCACCGACCGUGUCAUUGACGACGGCUACGACGACGACGUCACAGCCGCAGCCACCGUCGUUGGUCGGUGACCGCCGCGCGCUGUUCGAAACGCUGGCCGCUGCCGAUUGUACAGAUGACGUGAAAGCGUCGAAAAAGGCACAGCGGCCGGUCACACUCAAAAUGGCCGAUCCUUUGACGACCACUACUGCCGUCGCCGCCACCACCACCGAGAAGACGGCUGUCACGUGCAGCGACGACAACGACAGUGGCGUGGUGGUGGUUAGCGACAAGAAAGAGUCGAGCGAAACAAAAACCUCGGCAAGCGUCACCGGCAGUCGCGAAACCCUUUCGGACGUGGUGGCAGUGGUCGCCGACGAGGAUGGUGGAUCGGCGCCGUCUACCGAGUACCGAACGACAGACGUUGCCACUAAUGUUGUCGUACCCGAUCAACUGCCCUUACUGCCUGACGUCGGUCCGCCAGUUAUAUCCUCAUCCCCUACUCCGACGUUGCCGGACGAUUCGAAUCGACCCGAUGACGAAACUGUGGUCGAACCACUGAAAUACGUUCAAAUCCAGCCGAUAUCGGAUGAUUUGAAACAAGUCCUCGAACUUCCUCCGGCUAGUAGAGCUCCGGCCGAAGAGCAGCUAGAAUCCCCCGAGGAUUACGAAAUAAAAACCCUAUCCAACAAGUUGCUUAAAAUGGAUUAUUACGAGAGUAAUAAAGAGGUACCGGUUCCUAGUCCUAGAAAAAGAAUUAAAUCUCCGUUAAAAACCAAUUACCCUGAAAAUUUAAAUCCUUUCGACGACGAAGAUGACGAUGAUAACAAAAACAUAAACAAUAGCACGAACCCGUUCGGAUCCGAUUUAGAAGACGAAGAUCUUUCAACUAAAAAGAAAGUUAGUUUAAAUCCGUUUUCGAGCGACGAAGAAGAUAACGAGCCUGUUGCUCAACCCCCAUUGCCAAAACCUAGAACGGUUAUAUCUCCUAUAUUGAAACCACGAUACCAAACCCAUCGUAAGCAAAGUAGUGCUUCCAGUAUAUCUUCCUAUUCAAACACUCCUCGAAAAAAAAAACCAGCCCCACCACCUCCAGUAUCAAGACUAUCUCUUGGAAAUAUUGAAUACUCAAAUAAUAUGCAGGUGUCAUCUCCUAACAGUUUAGAAGACUCCAGUUGUAGUGGAAGUGAACCAUCUUCAACCACUAAUCAGGAACGAUACAGAUUACACAAAAGCACACAUGGAAAAUGGAAACGUAAGAAAGGACCUGCUCCUCAGUGUCCAAUACCACAAAGGAGACGAAUUAAACCUAUGCCUAUGGAAGAUAUCAAACAAGAGUUGUUAGAUAUUGAAAUAAAACAGCAAGAGCUCGAGAGACAAGGAGUUAAAUUGGAAAAAGAUAUAAGAUUAAAGUGUAAUGAAGAUUUGAACAAUGUUGAUGUAGAAGAAAUGGUAUUACAAUUGUUUGAAUUAGUCAAUGAAAAAAAUGAAUUGUUCAGAAAACAUGCUGAACUUAUGUACCUGCGAAAACAGCAUAAUUUCGAAGAAGAACACGCCGAAUUAGAAUAUCAAAUACGUGUAUUAAUGUCUAAGCCUGAUCAUACUAAAACAGAUACAGAAAAAGCACGAGAAGAAGAACUUAUCCGAAGAUUGGUUGAAGUUGUUGAAAGACGUAAUGAAAUUGUUGAAAAUUUAGAAAAAGAUAGACUGCGCGAAGCUGAAGAAGAUCGUAGUGUAUUCAAUCAAAUUGGAACUUUUGCUCAAGGUUCAAAAAAUAUCCAUCGUAUAGUUUACUAGUUUAAAAAUAUGUUUGACAUCAUUAGUGGUUUGCGGAAUGACGUUUUGUUCGUUUUUAAGAUGAAACCUUGCCAUGUAUCAAACCAGUUAAUACCACAGUUAUGGAAGGCAAAAAGAACUUUUCCAAAAGACUGUUGAAGAAUAUCAAAAAGGUAAAAUCAAAAAAAGAUAAACAGGAAGUUGCAUCACCAUCUCAAUCGCCCUCAAAUUCCUCUCAUAGCAAAGGCACUUUAAAAAAGUUUAUGACUCUAGGCCAUUCAUCUAAGAAAUUGUUAAGGCCUAAAUCCAGUUAGAAUCAUUAUUGUAUUAAAAUUGUGAACUGAAGAAUUAUUGUACUAUAUUACUAUAAGAAGUUACAAUUGAAUUAAUUAUAAUUAUAUCUUUCAAGAUUGUAUAUUUUACUUUUCUGUGCAAUUGUACUUUUUUGAAAUGUUAUGUAAACUGGCAACAUAUUGUUAAUUUUAUAUUAUUAAAUAUUUUUGUUGCAAUUUAAAGAGCCAUGUAGUUGUUAUCAAUUGUAUUAUUUGUGGCAUUGCUUAAAUAAUUGAACAUAUCAUACUCAACCAUAUGAAUUGCUAGUUUUAAAUGUGUAUAAUAUUUAUGUAAUUAUCACUUUUGUACUUAAGUAUUACUUAACAUUAAACAAGUUAAAUUAUUAUACCAAUUAUAUUUAAUAAGUAAUAACCCAUUUACAUGACAUAUACUCAUAAAUUUAGAAUAUGAGCCUAUU